rnacentral:rRNA from 1 species
GACGAACGCUGGCGGCGUGCUUAACACAUGCAAGUCGAACGGAAAGGCCCUGCUUUUGUGGGGUGCUCGAGUGGCGAACGGGUGAGUAACACGUGAGUAACCUGCCCUUGACUUUGGGAUAACUUCAGGAAACUGGGGCUAAUACCGGAUAGGAGCUCCUGCUGCAUGGUGGGGGUUGGAAAGUUUCGGCGGUUGGGGAUGGACUCGCGGCUUAUCAGCUUGUUGGUGGGGUAGUGGCUUACCAAGGCUUUGACGGGUAGCCGGCCUGAGAGGGUGACCGGCCACAUUGGGACUGAGAUACGGCCCAGACUCCUACGGGAGGCAGCAGUGGGAGAUAUUGCACAAUGGGCGGAAGCCUGAUGCAGCACCGCCGCGUGCGGGAUGACGGCCUUCGGGUUGUAAACCGCUUUCGCCUGUGACGAAGCGUGAGUGACGGUAAUGGGUAAAGAAGCACCGGCUAACUACGUG